rnacentral:antisense_RNA from 1 species
GAAGUUGUCGUCCUCGGCAGCCAGUAAUGCAUUAAUAAAGUCAGGCGGAAUAUCUUUAAAUUCGAUUGGCGAGCGUCGCAUUUCACCAAACUCAGCGAUCAGCUUCCCGUCACUGCUAAAUACCCUUAAAGGUAUUUGCAGUUGGAUGCUGCGCAAAGAGUCGACAGAAGGCAGGCUCGGGCUUAGGUAGAGGAAAGCCCCACUUAAACUGAGUAACAGGCCACAAAAAAUGGCGACGCAGGACCAAACAAAGAAUUUCAGCAAACGCAUCAAGAUUUUUGGAUUUCCAGAUAA